rnacentral:rRNA from 1 species
GAUGAACGCUGGCGGCGUGCCUAACACAUGCAAGUCGAACGAUGAAACCGCCCUCGGGCGGACAUGAAGUGGCGAACGGGUGAGUAACACGUGACCGACCUGCCCCCCGCCCAGGGACAGCCCCCCGAAAGGGGGAGUAAUACCUGGUACUCCGGAAGCGGCGCAUGCCGCCCCCGGGAAAGCUCUGGCGGCGGGGGAUGGGGUCGCGGCCCAUCAGGUAGACGGCGGGGCAGAGGCCCACCGUGCCGACGACGGGUAGCCGGGUUGAGAGACCGACCGGGCACAGUGGGAAUGAGAUACGGCCCAGACUCCAACGGGAGGCAGCAGUGGGGGAGUUUGAGCAAUGGGGGCAACCCUGACGCAGCAACGCCGCGUGCGGGACGAAGGCGUCCGCGUCGUAAACCGCUUUCAGCGGGGAACACCUAACGAGGGUACCCGCAGAAGAAGCCCCGGCUAAAUACGUGCCAGCAGCCGCGGUAACAC